UUAGGUAUGUGAAAAUCCAACUUUAUGACAAUGGUCCUUGACAAUUAUCCAGUUAUCCAGUGAAUAUGCAAAGCACGGAAUUAGACUAG
rnacentral:sRNA from 1 species